GGAAGGCCAGUACAGCAGCUAGGCGUCAAGACUCAAGAGCGGUGCCUGGAGCUGAAUGAAAGCCGUGGCAGCGGGAAACGCCUUGAGAAGCGCCAAAAUCGGCUACGAGCUACUGCUAGGAGACUCGACCGUUGCUGGCAAGCCGACGAGGAGGGUCGGCAAGAGGACACGCGCGCGCAGGCCAAGCGAGCCAGUCACUGACUCACUCAGUCGGCACCUCGCCCCCGGACGCGGCACGCGCUAGCGCACGUGGCAGCGGCCGCCCCUCCGCCCCGCCCCGCCCCGGAUCUCGCCUCGGAUCCUCCCUCCCUCUCUUCCGGCACCAGCCAGCCCAGUACGGGAGUACUACUGCUACCUGCUGCCAGUAGUACCACCGGACCGGAGGUCAGGAGCCUCUCCCUUCCUCCCAUGGCAUUGCGUGUGAUCCGCUGCGUGGCGCGCGCCUGCUAGACUGCUUUGCCCGCUCCCCCACGUGCCCGCGCUCGCUCCUGCUGCCGUGCCGACGUGCCGUGCCUUGUGGACUUCCUCCCUCCCUCCCUCCCCCGGUUGCGGGCUUGCGGGCGGGCGGGUGGAGUUUCGGUUGGGGAGAAAAGGAGAGGCGGAGGUGGAGGAGGAGGAGCGCUGCCUGCCACGGCCGCUGCGCCAGGUGCCAGGCGAGGUGAGGUGGGUGGUGGCUCACGGGCGCUUCACGGGUUCCGCGCCGCCUUUGCCUUUGCUUUCACUCACACGGAAAGUGCCGCCGCGCCGCGCGUGACGCCCCAACCGCCCCAACGCCGACGUCGCCGCCCCGCGCCGCGCCCCGCCCCGCCCGCAUACAUAUCCCGCGCUCCCUGCGUGCCAGUGCAGUGCCCGCUUCGCUCCUUCCGUCGAUCUGCGGUCCCGCGCCGUGCUCCUGCUCGCGCCGCGCUCGACCGAUUGGUUCCGACCGACCGGCUCCCGGCUGCCGGCGUCGGUGAAUGAGCAUGGGGCGCUACGCGGCCUCAACGGAUCCGGAGGCGGGCAGGGACGGGGACGGGGCCGUCCUGCUCCGCUCGCCCAGCGGGGCCACCGCGCGGGUGAGCCUGCACGGCGGGCAGGUCGUCUCCUGGAAGAACGACCGGGGAGAUGAGCUCCUCUUCACCAGCAGCAAGGCAAUCAUGAAGCCACCAAAGGCGAUGCGUGGCGGGAUUCCGAUAUGCUUUCCGCAGUUUGGGAACUGCGGGACCUUGGAGCGACAUGGAUUUGCGAGGAAUAGGAUGUGGGGCCUCGAUGAGGAGCAUCCGGCAUUGAGUCGCAGUGACAGUGGCAGCAGAUCUUUUGUUGACCUUAUCCUAAAGCCAUCUGAAGAGGACACGAAGAGCUGGCCACAUAGUUUCGAGUUCCGGCUGAGAAUCUCUCUCACAAAGGACGGUGACCUCUCACUAGUAUCGCGCAUCAGAAACGUUAAUGGCAAGCCAUUCAGUUUCUCAUUUGCCUACCACACAUACCUCUCAGUUUCAGACAUCAGCGAGGUGAGGAUAGAAGGCUUGGAGACCCUUGAUUAUCUGGACAAUCUCAGCCAGCGGGAACGCCAUACCGAACAAGGAGACGCCAUAACGUUCGAAUCAGAGGUCGACCGAGUGUACGUCAGCUCGCCGAACGUGAUAGCGGUGCUCGACCACGAGAAGAAGCGCACCUUCGUCAUCAGGAAGGAUGGCCUCCCCGACACCGUGGUGUGGAACCCGUGGGAGAAGAAGGCGAAGACGAUGGCGGACUUCGGGGACGAGGAGUACAAGCAGACGCUGUGCGUGGACGCGGCGGCGGCGGAGCGGCCCAUCACGCUGAGGCCCGGGGAGGAGUGGACGGGGAGGCUGGAGCUCUCCGCCGUGCCGUCGACCAACUGCAGCGACCACCUCGAUCAGCCCGGCAUCAUGUGAGGAUGCACUAGCGUUUGUCGAUCCACUUCUUUGACGGCCCACCAAGCGGAGUCAAAAAGCCCGGGAAAACCCCGCCGGAAAUGGAGCGCGGCGGCGGCAAAAUUUCCCCAAUCUCUCCGCUCCCCUCGCGCCCUCGCCUCCGCGACCAGCAGCUCCCGCUACACGCACCGGCCAGGCGCCCGAGCCCUAGCGGGGCGGCAUGGACUCGGCGAUGCUCUCCAGCACCUGUGCCGGCCUCCGCGCCCCGGAGGAGGACGACGACGGAGGCGCCGUCGGCUACGCAAGGGCGAGGACUGCCUCGGAUCUGCAGAGGCUGCUGCGGCGGGACGACCCGGAGCGGCGGGAGGUCUUCAAGCAGGUCUGCAAGUGGAGGAUCGCGUCCAGAGAUCUGAUGCCCAUCAUCGAGAAGUACCAGUCCGACCGCAACCUCGUCAUCACGGCAGUUGCUCGCCAUUAAGAGCCUGCAUUUUCAGUCGCAGAAGGAGAAGGCUGCACGGGUUAAGCGGUAAGAAUGACAACAUCGAUAAUCAUCCCCUAUCAUCUGAUGGAGAAACAUCGCAAGCACGCAAGCGCAGAACCAAAACUAAGGAGCUGCCACCGGUGAAUCUUUCACCAACUAUAUCACAACAUCAAGAGACUCCGCAAGGCACGGAUUCUGAUGAUGACACCGUUGGAUGUAUGCUUAGGCGCAUAAGGAAAAGGCUGGAUGGGGUAAGCAGGAAGUAUGACAACAACGAUAAUCAUCCAGUAUCAUCGGAUGAAGAAACAUUGCAAGCACGCAAGCGCAGAACCAAAACUAAGGAGCUGUCAUUGGAGAAUCUUUCACCGAUCAUAUCACAGCAUCAAGAGACUUCACAAGGCAUGGAUUCUGACGAUAAGACCAUACGAUCUGUGCUUAGGCGCAUAAGGAAAAGACUGCCUUUGUUAAGCAAUAGGAAUGAUAACGGCGAUAAUCAUCAAAUAUCAUCUGAUGAAGAAACAUUGCAAUUGCCUAAGCGCAGAACCGAAACUAAAGAGCUGCCGUUGAUGGAUCUUUCACCGAGUUUAUCACAACAUCAAGAUACUUCGCAAGGCACAGAUUCUGAUGGCGAGACCGUAGGGUCAAUGCUUAGGCGCAUAAGGAAAAGGCUGGAUGGGGUAAGCAGGAAGUAUGACAACAACGAUAAUCAUCCAGUAUCAUCGGAUGAAGAAACAUUGCAAUCAUGCAAGCGCAGAACCAAAACUAAGGAGCUGUCAUUGGAGAAUCUUUCACCGAUCAUAUCACAGCAUCAAGAGACUUCACAAGGCACGGAUUCUGACGAUGAGACCAUACGAUCUGUGCGUAGGCGCAUAAGGAAAAGACUGCCUCUGUUAAGCAAUAGGAAUGAUAACGGCGAUAAUCAUCAAAUAUCAUCUGAUGAAGAAACAUUGCAAUUACCUAAGCGCAGAACCGAAACUAAAGAGUUGCCGUUGAUGGAUCUUUCACCGAGUUUAUCACAGCAUCAAGAUACUUCGCAAGGCACAGAUUCUGAUGGCGAGACCGUAGGAUCAAUGCUUAGGCGCAUAAGGAAAAGGCUGGAUGGGGUAAGCAGGAAGUAUGACAACAAUGAUAAUCAUCCAGUAUCAUCUGAUGAAGAAACAUUGCAAAAACGAAAGCGCAGAACCAAAACUAGGGAGCUGCCGUUGGAGAGUCUUUCACCGAUCAUAUCACAGCAUCAAGAGACUUCACAAGGCACGGAUUCUGACGAUGAGACCAUAGGACCUGUGGUUAGGAAAAGGCUGCCUCUGUUAAGCAAUAAGAAUGAUAACGGUGAUAAUCAUUCAAUAUCAUCUGAUGAAGAAACAUUGCAAUUACGUAAGCGCAGAACCGAAACUAAAGAGCUACUGUUGAUGGAUCUUUCACCGAGUAUAUCAUAGCAUCAAGAGACUUCGCAAGGCACGGAUUCUGAUGGCGAGACCAUGGGAUCAAUGCUUAGUUGCUUGCCAUUAAGUCUAGCCUACAUUUUCAGGCGCAUAAGGAAAAGGCUGGAUGGGUUAAGCAGGAAGUAUGACAACAACGAUAAUCAUCCAAUAUCAUCUGAUGAAGAAACAUUGCAAGCACGCAAGUGCAGCAUCAAGAGACUUGUUCCUGGUGUUGAGACUACUGGUUCAGUUAUCAUGGACACUCCUCUCCAUCCGGAGCUAAACAAUAACGGUGUCCGUGCUGGUGAGGCUGAACUUCUAGAUGACUUGAGUGAGCCUGAGCUGGAUGACCGUGAACAUACUGAACAACGGAUCAUCGACGACAGAGACAUGUCUGAACCUGGGGACAGGUCAGGUGCUUCUUUCAGCCAGAAGGCCAGUUUGAAAAGAAGACACAAAAAUGGUAAUUGAUGACGACGACGAUGAUGAGCAGUUUGCCUUGAAAUUUAGCGAGGAUAAAACGUUGGAUCCUGCAGCUGUUUGGAGUAGAUGGUCUGCUACUGCCGUGCUUCUGAGUUGGGAGCACUGGAAUUUUUUAGCAGUAAGCAGAUGCAACCUGUUUGUACAUGAUUUGUUUUAUUUUUGAGGCUGAUUCUGAUGUUAAUUUUGGAUGGAGCCAUCUUGCAAUGCUAGCAAAUUUCUUAUUUGAGAUGCCAA